GACGAACGCUGGCGGCGUGCUUAACACAUGCAAGUCGAACGGAAAGGCCCUGCUUUUGUGGGGUGCUCGAGUGGCGAACGGGUGAGUAACACGUGAGUAACCUGCCCUUGACUUUGGGAUAACUUCAGGAAACUGGGGCUAAUACCGGAUAGGAGCGCCUGCUGCAUGGUGGGGGUUGGAAAGUUUCGGCGGUUGGGGAUGGACUCGCGGCUUAUGAGCUUGUUGGUGGGGUAGUGGCUUACCAAGGCUUUGGCGGGUAGCCGGCCUGAGAGGGGGACCGGCAACAUUGGGACUGAGAUACGGCCCAGACUCCUACGGGAGGCAGCAGGGGGGAAUAUUGCACAAUGGGCGGAAGCCUGAUGCAGCAACGCCGCGUGCGGGAUGACGGCCUUCGGGUUGUAAACCGCUUUCGCCUGUGACGAAGCGGGAGUGACGGUAAUGGGUGAAGAAGCACCGGCUAACUACGUG
rnacentral:rRNA from 1 species